UUUCUUUGGCAGAACAUACAGUAAACUAGAACCAUAAAGUGAUGAUUAGCAUGGGCUUAAUAAGAGGAUGACAUGCACGUUUGUGCAACACUGGUGUUUUUA
ensembl:snRNA U6 U6 spliceosomal RNA